AUGAUGCCUGUGUCCACAGUCUGUGCCGCCUCCCUCAACUCCUCUUUCUGGCCCCAGGAUGGCUCUGUUCUGAACACAUCCCCCCCGCCGCCGGAGGAGGCCAGCCGAGACCAGCUGGACAACAGGAAGGACCUCCCAUGGGGCGCCCAGUUCGAGCUGCCACCCAUGCUGCUGGAGACAGACAGUGGCUACAGGUCGUCACAAGGCACACCAUCAAAAACACUGGGAAAGCAAGAUUCCCUUCUGCCUCCGCCGUCCCUCCGCAUCCUGCUAACCCCUCCAUCUCACGAGCAGUCGAGCUCCCUAAGUGUGAAGAAUUUGGUCUCCAAGCUGUGCUCCCCCACUGGCCGGGACCUGGGUGCCUCGCAGGUGGCAGCGGAGGCUGGUGGCCUGGCCCUGAGCGCUCAGGCCCUGAAGGAGAUGGCUGUGAGCACCAAGAGCAUUGCCCUCAUCGCAGCCACCCGGCGCUCCAAAGCACAGGACCGCGAGGGUGGCGGUGGCCGCUCCUCCAUCCGCCUUCUGGAGGAGGUGGCCCUGGACUCCAGGGACCCGAAGGCCAGUGUCACCCCAGACCCAAGCCCAGCAGACAGGAGGUGGCCCCUUGCCAGCCCGGGCAAGGACUGUUCUACGGAGAGGAAGGCCAGGAGGAAGCGGUCACCCUCCCUCACCUGGAGCGUGCAGACGGUGGGUGGACACUGCUUGGCCACCUCGCCCAGUCCUGGGGUCCAGCUGGGACGGUGGGGGGGGGGGUCGGGACUGGCUCCCAUAGUUACAGUGGAUGCAGGAAGGCCCCAGGUGCAAAGUAGUCGGAGGGAGGACACCCAGCCCCACCACCCCUUCCUAAUAGGAAGCUGCAUGUGUGCAUGGUUUCUGUAGGCAGGUCACAGUGCAGGCACCAGCUCUUGAUCUGUUUCCUCCCUUAACAUUCUUUCAUAAAUUCUCAAGUGUCUAUAUGAUAUUUGAAUUUUAGCCCUGAAAAGACACAUCACUUGGUUCUAGCGCAUGUCACUAAAUAGUAACCAUGUGAGUCGUGAAGCACUGCCCACCACAAGGUGCCCCUCUCCGACCAGAGCCUGGCACCAGGCCUGGCACUCACGGCCUCCCACUGCCAGGGCUGAGCUCCACGCGCAGUCCCAUUGCGCAGCCACUUACGGUUGUCUGCUCCCUGUUCC
rnacentral:lncRNA from 1 species